rnacentral:lncRNA from 1 species
AUGGCGGACGCAGAGGCCGUGUUGCAGCGGCUCGGCGCCCGCCCCUGCCAAGAGUUCGUGAGCUGGGGGCAGUGCCUGGGCUGGGGGCCGCAGGAACUAGUGCCCAUCGCGGCCCCGGCGGUGUUGGACCCCGGAGACAGCAAAGACUACGCGGGGGACGAGCACUUGGCGGCGGCGCUGGCCGCCCCUUGGGACCCGGUGAGCCUGGGCGGAGCUUGGCAGGAUAUCCAGGCGCGACUCGGGAACAAGGCCAAGUUCACCUCUAGUAGCUUUGAGGCCAGAUGUACCACCCAGAAGGGAUGUUAUCCACAUAGGAAAAACACAAAGCUGAGGGAGCCCUCAGUGACCUCAGACGUCAGUAUUGAAACAGAGGUGGGAGAUCUCCAGGUGACAAUGAAGAAACUCAAAAAGGUCAUCCCACAGUUCCUAAUGGAUGAGGACUGUGACCCGCUGGCCCUCUAUGAUCCCAUGUGGAAUAUGAGUUGUGAUGUUGACAGCCUGCCAGAGAGCUCCUUCGAUGCAGCUUGUCUACUUUGAGGGAUUCCAAUGAGCAUGACUUGGAGGUGGGCAGCAGCACCAGAGGGGGUUACAGAGGUCACAUGGUACAUGGGAGAGCUUUGAGGGUGAUGCUUCAGAUGCAGACAUAAGUUCUGAAAUCACUGCUCUCCUGGGCCUGAUCUUCAGUCAAAAUGCAUAUAUCACCCUGUUUGAUGUUUAUCUGUCAUGACUGUUGUUUUAAAGGUCGGAUGUGUGAAAUACAGGAGAAGGUUUUUCUCUACCAAGUUAGGAAAAACUCUCAUAGAUUUCCUUUUGGGGCCACUCUGUUUUAUAACAGCAUUGCGUAAAGAGUCAGGUGCAUAUUUUUCUUCCUUUGACUUCAUGACAUAGCGAUGUAAUGAAAAACUUUGUUGUUUAACAACUGACCUUAGUAUAAGGGAUCAAGGUGUGGUUUCUGUCCUGGACUGGAAGCCCUAGGGGGCUACUAGCUCUUCUGGAAAACCCAUCGCACUUUCACCACAGGUGGGUGGUUUUGGAGACACUUAAAAAAAUUUUUUUUAUUAAAGUAUAGUUGAUUUACAAUGUUCUGUCAAUUUCUGCUGUACAGCAAUGUGACAUAGUCAUAUAUGUGUGUGUGUGUGUGUGUGUGUGUGUGUGUUCUUGGAGGCACUUUUAUUUGUCAACACUGUUCAUUUUCAUGCCAUAUAACUUACUAGGGAGAAAGCUGGCACUGCCUUUGUCACCCACUGUGGCUUCCUUCCCCUACACAGGCAUGGUGGGUGAUAACCAUAAACCUUCUGGCUUGCAAAAGGCUUACAAGAUUGUGCUGGCUGGGGAUGUCAUGGUGGGGAAGUUGAGUUUCCUUAUGAGAUGUUAUGAGAAUGAAUUUUGAGGCAGUACAAGUGCCACCCUGGGUAUGGUUCCUUUUUCAUUGGAUAAAGGGAAAAUGACCUUCUUUAGCUCGAUGGUAUUUUCUUUAGGGAUUAUAUACACAGAUCUCUUUCUCUUUCUCUGUAUAAUAAGUAUAUAGGUAGCUGUGUAUGUAUGUGCAUGCAUGUGUGUGUCCUUGCCUAUAGAAUUGUCCUCUUCUGUUUUGGCUAAGGCCUAAAUUUGGGAAAGGAAGACUAACAAAGGACUUAGGUAUCUACUUACUCAGUGACAUCAACCAAACCAAGUUUAGAAGUCAGAGAAGACAGAUUUAUGCAGUAGGAACUAUGGAUACACAAUAAACAAAGUAUGGAAAUUAUUUCAAGUAUCUUCUCUGACCACAAUGGCAUGAAACUAGAGACCAAUCACAGGAAAAGAAACGAGAAAAAACCUACUACACGGAGACUAAACAACAUGCCACUAAAAAACCAAUGGGUCAAUGAGGAAAUCAAUAAGGAAAUUAAAAAAUACUUUGAGACAAAUGAUAAUGAAGACACAACCACUCAAAAUCUAUGGGAUGCUGCAAAAGCAGUGCUCAAAGGGAAGUUCAUAGGAAUACAGGCCUUCCUCAAAAAAAAAGAAAAAUCUCAUUGACAUCUUAACCCACCACCUAAAUGAAUUAGAAAAAGAACAACAACAACAAAAAAACCCCCCUAAAGUCAGCAGAAGGAAGGAGAUCAUAAAGAUCAAAGAGGAAAUCAAUAAAAUAGAGAUUCAAAAAAAAAAUAGAAAAAAAUUAGUAAAACCAAGAGUUGGUUCUUUGAAAAGGUAAACAAAAUUGACAAACCUCUGGCUAGACUCACUAAGAAGAGGAGAGAAAGAACCCAAAUAAAAUAAGAAAUGAAAAAGGAGAAAUCACAAUGAAUACUGCAGAAAUACAAAAACCAAACAAGACUUCAAUGAACAAUUUUAUGCCAACAAAUUUGACAAUCUGGAAGAAAUGGACAACUUUCUAGAGUCUUACAGCCUGCCAAAACUGAAUCAAGAAGAAAUAGAGCAACUGAAAGACUGAUAACUAGAAAUGAAAUUGAAUAUGUCAUAAAAACACUCCCUAUAAAUAAAAGUCCAGGACCAGAUGGCUUCACAGGUGAAUUCCACCAAACAUUCGAAGAGGAACUUAUACCCAUCCUGCUUAAACUUUUUCAAAAGGUUGAAGAAGGAACACUCCCAAAGACAUUCUAUGAUGCUACCAUCAACCCUAAUUCCAAAACCAGACAAAGAUACCACAAAAAAGAAAACUACAGGCCAAUAUCUUUGAUGAAUAUAGACGCAAAAAUUCUCAGCAAAAUUUUAGCCAACCGAAUCCAACAACAUCAAAAAGAUUGUACACCACGACCAGGUGGGAUUCAUCCCAGGUGCACAAGGAUGGUUCAACAUACGCAAAUCAAUCAACGUCAUACACCACAUUAACAAAAGAAAAGUCAAAAACUACAUGAUCAUCUCAAUAGAUGCAGAAAAAGCCCAACAUCCAUUUAUAAUAAGAACUCUCACCAAAGUGGGUAUAGAGGGAACAUUUCUUAACAUAAUCAAAGCCAUUUAUGGCAGAUUCACAGCAAAUAUAAUACUCAAUGGAGGAAAAUUGAAAGCCUUUCCACUAAAAUCUGGAACAAGACAGGGAUGCCCACUCUCACCACUGUUAUUCAACAUAGUGUUAGAAGUCCUAGCCACAGCAGUCAGACAAACAAAAGAAAUAAAAGGCAUUCAGAUAGGAAGAGAGGAGGUAAAACUGUCACUGUAUGCAGACGACGUGAUACUACAUGUAAUAAACCCUAAGGACUCAACCCAAAAACUACUUGAACUGAUCAACAAACUCAGCAAAGUAGCAGGAUAUAAGUUAACAUUCAGAAAUCAGUCACAUUUCUGUAUACUAACAAUGAAGCUUUAGAAAAGGAAUAUAAAAACACAAUACCUUUUAAAAUUGCACCCCCCAAAAAUCAAAUACCUGGAAAUAUACCUGACCAAGGAGGCAAAGGACCUAUAUGCUGAGAACUAUAAAACAUUAAUCAAAGAAAUCAAAGAAGAUGGAAAGAAAUGGAAAGAUAUUCCAUGCUCCUGGGUUGGAAGAAUUAAUAUUUUGUAAAAAUGGCCAUACUACCCAAAGCAAUCCACAGAUGCAAUGCAAUCCCUAUCAAAUUACCCAGGACAUUUCUCACAGAACUAGAACAAACAAUCCAAAAAUUUAUAUGGAACCACAAAAGACACAGAAUUGCCAAAGCAAUCCUGAGAAACAAAAACCAAGCAGGAGGCAUAACUCUCCCAGACCUCAAGAAAUAUUACAAAGCCACAGUCAUCCAAACAGUGUGGUACUGGUACCAAAACAGACA